AAUGAAGUGCCUGAAAAAAGGAUUAUUUUGAUAGAAUAAAAAAUAUAAAUUAAUAAUAAACAUUUAUCUUCAUUA
rnacentral:tRNA from 1 species